rnacentral:lncRNA from 1 species
UUAUUUUAAUAGUAUUAUAAUAUUUACCUCUUCUUUUAACAAAAUUAUUAUAUUUGCCUCCAACAUAUUAUUGUCUAGAUUAUUUUUAGUCAGAACAGCUGCAUUCUAUUCGCAUAAUAAUUCACAUGGAUUUAUUUGCAAGGAAGAUAUUAAUUUAUAUAAAUACAUACAUUUUUCUUGUCAGUCAAAGAACAAUAAUAUCUUCGAUUAUCGUUUAUAAACCUGGUAAAAGAUUUUGUACAAGAAUAGAGUUUUCUAAUAUAAUGCAUUUGCCUUUUGUUUUCUUAAUUUGUGAUAACUAAGAUGCAUUCCUUCUACUAAUCUUCUGAUAGAAUAUUGCUGCAUAUGGUUUCUUCCAAAUGUACGCAACCAAAUUGAAGACAGUCAUCUGAAAAACCAGAGAAAUAUAUUCAUAUGAAAAUUUUUGAAGUGAAAACUUUUUUAGAAUGGGUGUAAUUUGGAAAAAUGUAACGGUUAUUGUAAAAAAUGAAGCGGUAGGCCGCUGCGUAACGGAACGGUAGGAGGCUAUGAAAUGAAAGCGAUACUAAAUAAGAGCAGAGAAAGAGACAAACAUAUAGGAAUGAGCCUGCGAGAGAAUGAGACAGAAUAUAGCUCUACAGUUUUUCCUAUUCUCUGGCUUUGAUUCGUGGUCCUCACUCCUGGUUACUAAGUUGUGUGUAUGUGUGUGUUGUGUGUCAAACAAAGGCAAGCUCUGUUAGUGGCGUAAUGUUGCUACGUCAGAGCGUUGCUAUGGUAACCAUUAACGGUUUUUUACAUACAACUAAACCGUACUAGUACUUUGCCCGUUACAAAAAUAUGUGUGUGUGUGUGUGUGUGUGGCAAAGGACAAGAGCAAGCUUGUUGUAUGACGUCACGUUACUACGUAAGAGCGUUACGAGUGAGUGAAAACAAAGCAAGCUGGUUGCCGGGAGAGUUCUUGUUUACGAGAGAGAAAGAGAGAAAGGGAGAACGAUACGUGCGAUAAAGAAGUGUGAUUACUGAUUAAGCGAUAGAAUUAAGUUGAAUUUGAGGGAUAUUAAACGAGCGAUUUUGAGAGUGAAUAAGCGUGAAAGUGUGCAGUGAGUGACGAUACAAUACGAGCAGUUUAGCGUUUUAGUUUAAUAGUGAUUCGUUACGUGCGAUUUAGUGUCUAAGAGUUUUCAAGAAGCAGCGGAGGGAGUUCAUCUAAUUAUUGCGUGUGAAUUGUUUUAAACGGAUUGUAAUUUAUUAACUUGUUAAAUAAAAGGUGUUUGUUUUCUAUUUUUUUUCGAGUGGUACCGGCUACGCAAAGAAUUCAGAUAUCCUUAGCCGGAUACGUAAUAAGUGUUUUCCUUACACUGUUAACUGAAUGCACCUAGUAUAAUAUCGGAAAAUAGUCUUCCUUUAAAUUUAACUUUAUACUGAGACAUUGUUUUCUAUGCAAAUACUUUUAUACUAUGUUUUAUAUAUGAAUUUCUGAGUGUGGAACAAGCAUAUAUAUGUGGGUGUUGAAAGGCGUUAAAGAAAAAGAGAAAUAAUGAUUGCUUUAUUAGAAUGCGUGCGUCUAGCGUGAGGACUGUUAUGUGUGCGUGUGUAUGUGUAGGAAAGAAAGAGAUAAGGAAUGGUUGCUUUGUCAGAAUGCGUGCGUCUAGCGUGAGGAUGACUGAACGAGAGGCGACCACCGUUCGUUUUUUGUCGUCGAGCUACUGUUGUGUGUGUUUUGUGUAUACACGUGUGGCGAAGCAAGCAUAAGCUUGUUGUAUGACGUCACGAUAGCCGAGGGUGGGAGUAGAAGCAUCCGGUUUGUUAUAAUUGUGUGAGUGCGUGAGUGAGUGUGACAGAGCGCUUGACAAAGGAAAGCUCAGCGCGUCGCAGUGUUGCUUCCAUCAGAGCAAGGUUCAGCGCGUUGCAAGAUGUUAUCAGCUUGUUAAAGUUCAAGCUCGGUGCGUGGCAGGAUGUUGUUUACGUCAGAACAUUGUUCUGCGCGUGGCGUGAUGUCGUUAUGUCGGAGCGUUGCUAAGCAGCUCAUACAAAGGCAACCUCGGCGCAGCGUUGCUAAGCAGCGAAAACGUAUGCAAACUCGGCGUAUAAGGGGAGGGAGCGCGAGCACGUGUCAGGGAGAAAGAGUGAUAGAGCGAUACGUGCGAUUUUGUAUUCCUUUUGAAUAUUUAACAAUUAUUUUAAUAUUAUAUUAAAUAUUUUUUUUUACAAUA